UGCAGGCCUUAUAUGGAAUAAAUCGAUGAGGGAUGUUGGAAAUCCUACCCCCAGCCCCCACGCAGCCCAAUUCUUCCGCAAGGAGCCCCAACGAAUGUCACCGGGCUUUGGAAGUGAAACCAUGACGGCAACGAAUCGGUUCUGUAGAUACUUUCUACGGGAUGUAAUUACGCUACAUGGCCAAAGUCAUUUUAUUUUGUCCCUGGCAACUACGGGCCAGUGCGCAGGCCCGGCUGCUGGGACUCCGCUGCAGCAUCAAUCCUCCUUGCCGAUGAGCAGUGCGCGGGAUGAAUAUUUUAGGAGUUUGAAGAGGUGUGAACCCUGACGCAUCCGUAUCCAGUGAAACAAGAAGAGCAGAGUAGGAUCAAGUGGUUGAGUCACAUGGUCUGGCUGCUAUAAUCAACCGCAAACAAGUGCUUAGGCCGUCUGCAAUCCAGAUACGAUUUCGAUUGGACAUCAGCGUCAGAUACUAAAAUACCGAACGGACGCCUCUUUCCAGCAUCGACCUCAACCCACAGAACCCAACGGUCAAUCUAACGCAGCUUCAGAAGUCCUCUGAAGAGAUGGGAGAACCUGCCAGAAGGAAGACCAUCUCAGCAACACUCCGUCACUCAUGGCCUUCAUGGUUGAGUGGCUAGAUGGAAGCCACUUUGACUAAAAAGGCGUAUGACAGCCCAAUUGGAGUUGGCCAAACGGCACUGGAAGGACUCAAGAGUGUGAGGAAAAGAUUCUCUGGUCUGACGAGACAAAGCGCGAACUUUUUGGGCAGAACUCCGAGCAGCACGUCUGGCGAUCACCAGGCGCUGCUCAUCGCCUGGCUAAUACCAUCGCCACGGUGGAGCACGGUGGUGGCAGCGUCACGCUAUGGGGGGGAAAGCUUCUCAGCAGCAGGUGACAGGGAGACGGGUCAGAAUUGAGGAGACGAUGAUGAUUGCGCCCACAGAGGAGGCCCUUGAAUAAAAACCUGUUCCAGAGUGCAGGCGACCUGAGACUGGGGCGACGGUGCAACUUCCAGCCCGACAAUGACCCCUAGUAUCCAGGUUGGCUAAACUUGUAGGGACUUUCCUAAGAAGACUCAAUGCCGUAAUUGCUGCAAAGGGGGUUUCUACAAAGUACUGAACUAAGUGUGAGAAUAAUUUUGUAACAGAGGUUUCAGUUUUUUUUUAAAUAAAUUUGCGGGGAAA